rnacentral:rRNA from 1 species
UACGAAGGGUGCAAGCGUUAAUCGGAAUUACUGGGCGUAAAGCGUGCGUAGGCGGUCUUUUAAGUCUGCUGUGAAAUCCCCGGGCUCAACCUGGGAAUGGCAGUGGAUACUGGGAGGCUAGAGUGUGUCAGAGGAUGGUGGGAUUCCCGGUGUAGCGGUGAAAUGCGUAGAGAUCGGGAGGAACAUCAGUGGCGAAGGCGGCCAUCUGGGACAACACUGACGCUGAGGCACGAAAGCGUGGGGAGCAAACAGG